UACAUGGGGUGCAAACGUUGCUCGGAAUUACUGGGCGUAAAGCGCACGUAGGCGGAUCGAUCAGUCAGGGGUGAAAUCCCAGGGCUCAACCCUGGAACUGCCUUUGAUACUGUCGAUCUGGAGUAUGGAAGAGGUGAGUGGAAUUCCGAGUGUAGAGGUGAAAUUCGUAGAUAUUCGGAGGAACACCAGUGGCGAAGGCGGCUCACUGGUCCAUUACUGACGCUGAGGUGCGAAAGCCAGGGGAGCGAACGGG
rnacentral:rRNA from 1 species